rnacentral:rRNA from 1 species
AUUGAACGCUGGCGGCAGGCCUAACACAUGCAAGUCGAGCGCGCGGCGGACGGGUGAGUAAUGUAUGGGAAACUGCCUGAUGGAGGGGGAUAAAUACUGGAAACGGUAGCUAAUACCGCAUACGCUCAGAUGUGCGCAGAUGGGAUUGGCUAGUAGGUGGGGUAACGGCUCACCGAGGCGACGAUCCCUAGCUGGUCUGAGAGGAUGACCAGCCACACUGGAACUGAGACACGGUCCAGACUCCUACGUGAGGCAGCAGUGGGGAAUAUUGCACAAUGGGCGCAAGCCUGAUGCAGCCAUGCCGCGUGGGUGAAGAAGGCCGUCGGGUUGUAAAGCACUUUCAGCGGGGAGGCGUUACCCGCAGAAGAAGCACCGGCUAACUCCGUGCCAGCAGCCGCGGUAAUAC